AGCCCGGCAGCUCAGAUGGUUAGAGCGCAGGAUUCAUAACCCUGAGGUCGGCAGUUCGAUCCUGCCCCGCUA
rnacentral:tRNA from 1 species